AGGGAAUAUUGGUCAAUGGGCGGAAGCCUGAACCAGCCAUGCCGCGUGCAGGAAGACGGCCCUAUGGGUUGUAAACUGCUUUUAUAUGGGGAGAAAUGACUUUAUUUAUAGAGUUUUGACGGUACCAUAGGAAUAAGGAUCGGCUAACUACGUGCCAGCAGCCGCGGUAAUACGUAGGAUCCAAGCGUUGUCCGGAUUUAUUGGGUUUAAAGGGUGCGUAGGCGGGAGUAUAAGUCAGUGGUGAAAGCCCAUCGCUCAACGGUGGAACUGCCAUUGAUACUGUACACCUAGAAUUCGGUAGAGGUUGGCGGAAUGUGUAGUGUAGCGGUGAAAUGCAUAGAUAUUACACAGAACACCGAUUGCGAAGGCAGCUAGCUAUGCCUGGAUUGACGCUGAGGCACGAAAGCGUGGGGAUCAAACAGGA
rnacentral:rRNA from 1 species